GUGCCAGCAGCCGCGGUAAUACGGAGGGGGUUAGCGUUGUUCGGAAUUACUGGGCGUAAAGCGCGCGUAGGCGGACUAGUCAGUCAGGGGUGAAAUCCCGGGGCUCAACCCCGGAACUGCCUUUGAUACUGCUAGUCUAGAGUUCGAGAGAGGUGAGUGGAAUUCCGAGUGUAGAGGUGAAAUUCGUAGAUAUUCGGAGGAACACCAGUGGCGAAGGCGGCUCACUGGCUCGAUACUGACGCUGAGGUGCGAAAGUGUGGGGAGCAAACAGGAUUAGAUACCCUGGUAGUCCACACCGUAAACGAUGAAUGCCAGUCGUCGGGUAGCAUGCUAUUCGGUGACACACCUAACGGAUUAAGCAUUCCGCCUGGGGAGUACGGUCGCAAGAUUAAAACUCAAAUGAAUUGACGGGG
rnacentral:rRNA from 1 species